rnacentral:lncRNA from 1 species
UGGGCUAGCUGGUGACAAUCUUGGACUGCUCGGAGAGUAGGCUACCGAUGGGCUAUAUUUUGCAGAAGGAGGAUUAUAACUCGGAGAGGUAGGGCUAUAACUAGGAGAAGUUGGACUAUAACUCGGGGAAGUAGGGCUGUAACCCGGUGAAGUUGGGCUGUAGGCAGGUGAAGUUGGGCUGUAGGAUGGGGAUGUGGGGCUGUAGGAGGGGGAUGUGGGGCUGUAUGAAGGAGAUGUUGGGCUGUAGGAGGGGGAAGUGGGGCUGUAUGAAGGAGAUGUUGGGCUGUAUGAUGGUGAAGUUGGACUGUAUGCAGGGGAAGUGGGGCUGUACGCAGGGGAAGUGGGACUGUAAGCGGGGGAAGUCGGGCUGUAGCUUGGAGAGGUCGGGCUGUAGCUUGGAGAAGUCGGGCUGUAGCUUGGAGAGGUCGGACUGUAGCUUGGAGAGGUAGGUGAGUAAGAGGGGCUCGUAGGAGAAUAUGCUGGACUGGUUGGACUAUAACCUGGAGAGCUUGGACUAUAGGUUGGAGAAGUGGGACUAUAACCAGGGGAGGUGGGGCUGUAACCCGGCGAGGUGGGACUAUAACCAGGGGACGUGGGACUGUAUCCAGGGGAGGACGGACUGUAUCCAGGGGAGGAUGGGCUGUAACCCGGAGAUGAAGCAGGAGAGAAUGCCAUUCCACCGACAUAGGGAGAAAACUGAGCAUCUGAGAUGGGAGACAUUCGCAUAUUCGGGCUCAGCAAAUAAUUAGGUGACAUCAUUCCAUCACGGAAGGGAGUUCCCG